rnacentral:lncRNA from 1 species
AAUAAAUUAAAAAUCAUCCCACAAAUUAAUACAAUAUUUUAAAAACUAAAACUAAAAGUUCAGUCAUCCUCCUCAAAAUCCAUCUCAUCAUCUUCCUUCCCAUCCUCAAUUCCUUCUUCUUCUUCCUUCUUGCUCCUCUUCUUCUUGCUCUGGAUGUGUAAGCCCAAACAUAUCUGGCGUUUAAUUAGGCACCCUAAUAUU